rnacentral:misc_RNA from 1 species
GUGAGACAGAGUUGGAGAGAGAGAGAGAAUUAGAAUGCUAUAUGAAGUUUAAUAAUCCCAUGUGUUCAUAGAUUCUAAGACCCAUGAACUGUGACAACCCCAGCUGAGGCUAGAAUAAUAGUUUUGUUGGUAACCAAGAUUCUUAUCUUGCUAUUAGUGUGUGUAAGAAUGGGUUAAAAGCAACUAUUCUCGUUGCCAAAGUAGGGCACUGCAAAGACCAAAAGGUUAAGUAUGCCAUGCAAAAAUCUUUCUUGAUGGAAGAAGUCUGUCUAAUCUCCUUGCAAUAUUUUCAUUAAAAUUGUAAAAUAAAUGAACCUACACCUGAACUCAUCAUUCUCUGGUUCAUCACAACUUGCAAAUAUAGAAAAAAAAAAAAAAAA